rnacentral:rRNA from 1 species
UCAGAAGGGGAUAACACUUGGAAACAGGUGCUAAUACCGUAUAACAAUCAAAACCGCAUGGUUUUGAUUUGAAAGGCGCUUUCGGGUGUCGCUGAUGGAUGGACCCGCGGUGCAUUAGCUAGUUGGUGAGGUAACGGCUCACCAAGGCCACGAUGCAUAGCCGACCUGAGAGGGUGAUCGGCCACAUUGGGACUGAGACACGGCCCAAACUCCUACGGGAGGCAGCAGUAGGGAAUCUUCGGCAAUGGACGAAAGUCUGACCGAGCAACGCCGCGUGAGUGAAGAAGGUUUUCGGAUCGUAAAACUCUGUUGUUAGAGAAGAACAAGGAUGAGAGUAACUGUUCAUCCCUUGACGGUAUCUAACCAGAAAGCCACGGCUAACUACGUGCCAGCAGCCGCGGUAAUACGUAGGUGGCAAGCGUUGUCCGGAUUUAUUGGGCGUAAAGCGAGCGCAGGCGGUUUCUUAAGUCUGAUGUGAAAGCCCCCGGCUCAACCGGGGAGGGUCAUUGGAAACUGGGAGACUUGAGUGCAGAAGAGGAGAGUGGAAUUCCAUGUGUAGCGGUGAAAUGCGUAGAUAUAUGGAGGAACACCAGUGGCGAAGGCGGCUCUCUGGUCUGUAACUGACGCUGAGGCUCGAAAGCGUGGGGAGCAAACAGGAUUAGAUACCCUGGUAGUCCACGCCGUAAACGAUGAGUGCUAAGUGUUGGAGGGUUUCCGCCCUUCAGUGCUGCAGCUAACGCA